rnacentral:rRNA from 1 species
CGCCCAGACUCCUACGGGAGGCAGCAGUGAGGAAUAUUGGUCAAUGGUCGGGAGACUGAACCAGCCAAGCCGCGUGAGGGAGGAAGGUACAGAGUCUCGUAAACCUCUUUUGUCAGGGAACAAAGGCGGGGACGUGUCCCCGGAUGAGUGUACCUGAAGAAAAAGCAUCGGCUAACUCCGUGCCAGCAGCCGCGGUAAUACGGAGGAUGCGAGCGUUAUCCGGAUUUAUUGGGUUUAAAGGGUGCGUAGGCGGAAUGCCAAGACAGCGGUAAAAUCGGGGGGCUCAACCUCGCUCCGCCGUUGAAACUGGGUGCCUUGAGUGGGCGAGAAGUACGCGGAAUGCGUGGUGUAGCGGUGAAAUGCAUAGAUAUCACGCAGAACUCCGAUUGCGAAGGCAGCGUACCGGCGCCCAACUGACGCUGAAGCACGAAGGCGUGGGUAUCGAACAGGAUUAGAUACCCUGGUA